rnacentral:lncRNA from 1 species
GUAGCUUUCAUUUCUUGUCAGAUGUCACUUCUCAGCAAUACGGUCCUAUAUUUCCCCCUGAUCAGACUGAGAGAUGGGAAUUCACUAAGGAUUGAAGAAUCACAAGGUCAGGCAUUGUUGUCUGUUUUAUUCACAGAUGUCACCACAAUCCUUAGAACACAUGCGUCACAUGGUUGUACUAUGGCUAAUACUUGUUGCAUGAAGGAACAAAUAAGAAUGAAAAGAGUCUUCCUAGAGAAGAAGGAAAAUGGAUCAACAAUCCAGAAAGAAAAGUAAAAGGAAUAAAUAGCAGAGCCAUCUUCUGUGACCUGGGAUGUCACAAUACAGUCCGUCCUCUAUAUCCAUGGGUUCUGCAUCUACAGGUUUAACCAACUAUCAAUCAAAAAUAUUUGAGAGGGCUGGGGUUGGGGCUCAGUGGUAGAGCGCUUGCCUAGCAUGUGUGAGGCACUGGGUUCGAUUCUCAGAACCACAUAUAAGUAAGUAACUCCCAUUGACAACUAAAUUUUUUUUUUUAAAUUUUGAGAAAAAUCACACGUUUACAGACCUUUUUCCACAUUAUUGUUUCCUAAACAAUACUGUGGACUGGCACAGUGGUGCACACUUGUAAUCUCAGCAGCUUGGGGGGCUGAGGCAAGAGGAUCCCAAGUCUGAGGCCAGCCUCAGCAACUUAGUGAGAUCCUAUAUCCAAAAAAAAGGUUGUGGGGCUGGGGUUGAGGAUGUAGCUCACUGGUAUAGAGCACCCUGGGUUCAAUCUCCAGUACUUUGUCCCUCAAGAUACUGCAUAACAACUAUUCACAUGGCAUUUGUGUUGUAUUAAGUAUCAAAAGUAAUCUCCAGAUAUUUUGAACUAUAUGGGAGGAUGUGCAGGGGUUAUAUGAAAAUAUUGUAAAAGGGACUUAAGCAUCUGAGGACUUUAACAUUAAUGGGGGUAGAAGGUCCUGGAAUCAAUCCUUUGAAGAUACCAAGGAGCAACUGUAUUCCCACUUCUGUUUGAUAUAGGCCAAGUACUAGCCAAAUACAAUUAUGAAUGACCAACUUUUUUUUUUUUUCUCAGUACUGGGGAUUGGACCCAGUACCGUAGCUGUUAACUCCACUACUAAGCUAAACCCCACUCUUUUUUACUUUAAAAUUUUGAGAUAGGGUCUUAGGGUCUCCCUAGGUCACCCAAGCUGGCCUUGAACUUGUGAUCCUCCUGCCUCUGCCUUUGAGAUGGCUGGAAUUAUAGGCAGCACCACCAUGCUUGGCUAGUGACUGACCAACUUUUGACAUGGAGCAAUUAUGUUAAACCCCAAUCUAAUUCCCAGUCUUGUCACAUUGGGGGUUGGGGACUUGGACUUGGUUUAGUGGUAGAACAGGAAUUUGGCACGCAUGAGACCCCAAGUUCAGUCCCCAGCAUGUGUGCAGGACACACACACACACACAUCAACACCAGUUAGUUUAGUAGAAACUACUAAGUCACCUGUGGCUUAUUUACCUAAUGUCUAUUCUCUUUGCUGGGUGUUACCCAGGAGGGCAGGAGGGAUGGUUGUUGAGGACCCAGGAUGCUAACCACCCUUUUCCUGUACGAUGGCUUUACUUUCUUUCUUUCUUUUCUUUUUUUUUUUUUAAGUUGUAGUUGGACACAGUAUCUUUAUUUUAUUUAUUUAUUUCUAUGUGGUACUGAGGAUCGUACCAAGGGUCUCGCACAUGCUAGCAAGCGCUCUACCACCAAGCCACAACCCUGGCCUUUAGCUUUACUUUUCCUUAGCUCCUUCUACUCAUUUUCUUGGACCUCUUAUCCUGUGUUCUGUCUGCUUGCAGACAAGAUGGAUAUGUGAGCGCCAAGGACCUUUUGUUCCUGCCUGUUCUGUUUCAUGGGAAUUAGCAUCACCUGCUCAGUGGAAGGAACCUGGGGUCUGAAAUAGGAGGACAGAUCUGGAUUGGAAUUAUACAACACAACCAAUCAGGCAGUGAAGACUUUCCUGCCUUGUCGCUAAGCCUGGUAAACUAAGAAGAGCUUGAGUGUCCCUACCCCUACAGCUGUACUGUACAGAGCAGCUGAGGGUUUCUACAGGGGACACAUGUAGGAUCUGCCUGGCUUCAGGAAGUGAGAGGCCUGAAUUCACACUUAAUGGGCAUCCAGUCCGCCUAAGUCCUACCUGAGAAUCCGGUGUGGAUUUACCAGUAGCCCCUCACCCGCCAACUCCCUGGGUUUGGAGAGAAGGAAGAUCUAUAACAGCAGCCAGAGGUGCCCCCUGAGCCUGGUGCUUGGAGCAAGGCUUCCCCUGGAGCUGGAGCUUCUGCCUAAGGCAAACUGGGAGCCCCAAACCUGGGAAGACAGGAUUUGUGUAAGCGCAUAAGAAAGAAACACACUGCUGUUGCUUUCAGCUACCUGGGAGUGGAAGGCCCUCCUGCAGAGGCCAAGGGGGCUCUGGGCUGUGCAGCAAGGCACCCAAUUAUUCAUCCUGCUCCUCUCCUCCUUCCUCCCUGAACCCCACCCUCCCCUUUUCAAAGGAACAACCAUCUGUGGGAUGCUGCGUCCAUCACCCACUUGGCCCAGAGAGGAUGCCAGCUCCUUACAAACCCUCCAGUAGGAUCAGUGCUUUAAAAUCAUACCACAUUGUCCAGCUGUCAUCGACAGAGGAGGACAGGAACAUUUGUCCAGGUGUCCCCUUGAGCUCUUUCUCACCCCCACAGCCAUUUAAAGUGUCCCUCAAGGCUGCAUUUAAAAUAUCACCUUACUGGGCCUGGGAGGAGCUUGGUGGGAGCCCCAUUCAAGCACCAACACAACAACAACGGAAAAAACAAAGAACAUCUCAAAAACACCUUACAGUUUGGUGUUUGUUAUUUACCAAAAUUAAAUAAAAAACCUAUGAACCAUUUAAAUAAAUUUAUUUUUAUUAUGAAAAUUUGAAACAGUAUCUCAUUAAGUUGCCCAGGCUAGCCUGGAACUUGUGAUGCUCCUGCUUUAGCCUCUCCAGUAGUUAGGAUUGUAGGCAUGUGCUCCAGAGCCCAGAUUGUCUUUUUUUUCAAUACUGAGCAUUGAGCCCAGAGCUUCAUGCAUGCGAGGCAAGUGCUAACCUAGGAAUCUCUCAAGAGUUUCAAAUUGGUAUCAACUUUCCUUUCUCAGCCCCCAUCCUCCUCCUCAUUCCUUGCCUGUUUAGUAAAGGCAUGCACUUUUGCUAGUCUCAUUAAAUUCUUAAAACAACCCUGCAGAGGAGGUUAUGAUCUAAUUCUGCAGAUGAAAAGGAGAGGUUGAUGUCCAAGUUCUCCCUGGGUGAGGCUGGCUUGGAACCUGGGUUCUUCCCACGAAAGCUUUGCUUAUCUUUGAAAGGGCUCUCUUCUGCUUUUGUCCUUAAGAUUCUCCUUUGAACCCUGUGAGAACAAUGUCCUAGCCUGUAUCUGAACCUUUCUUUGGCUAAAUGUGCUUGGAAUUCGGAGCUUGGGGGAUUUUAGAUUGUUAAUACACGGCAGACCCAGCAAUCAAGUACUUGGAGGGGUCUGCAAGAGAGGAGGUGCAGUCACACUGCAAAUAGAUCCAAGAACUGGUUUUAGGUAAAGGCUUUCAGAAAUGUGGAUGGGGUGAUGUAGAGCCUCACGCAUGCUAGGCAAGUGCUUUACAACUAAGCCUCAAGUUUCUUUCUUUUUUUUUUUUCUUUUUGUGGUAUUGGGGAUUGAACCCAGGGCCUUGUGCAUGAAGGCAAGCACUCUACCAACUGAGCUAUAUCCCCAGCCCUCAAGUUUCUUUUUUAAAACUGAAAGUGAGCCUGGUGCAGUGGUCUAAGCCUGUAAUCCCAGUGAUUCUGGAGGCUGAGGAAGGAGAAUUGCAAAUUUGAAGCCAGCCUCAGCAACUUAGUGAGGCCCUAAGCAACUUAGACCCUGUCUCUAAAUAAAAAAUAAAAAAGGGCUGGGGAUAUGGCUUAAGCACCCCUGGGUUCAAUCCCCAGUACUUAAAAAAAAUAAAAAUAAAUGAAAGAAAAAGCAAAAAGAAAUGUGCAAGGAAGAAUGAUGUCCCACCCCAACCUUCCCACCCUUGGAGCAGUAAAAGCUCCCACCGGGGGACAUCUUCCUGCAGAGGCAUCUCAAAUUCUGGCCCUCAGUCCCUCCUAUGGAGGGUGGCCAUGUGUGGUGACACAGUGGCCGUAAGUGUGCCAAGUUUUACAUCUUUAAGGGAAGGAAAGCUCCAGUAUAGUACUUCUAACACUUGUCAACUGGUUUAUCACAGUGUGCCCCACACUAUAUGGGGAGGCAUCCAUUUUUGGCUUUCAUUAUGAUGGUAAGAGCGGCAUUCCUAGAAGUCCUGUUUUGGUACUGGGGAGUGAACCAGGUUACUGGGGUGCUCAACCACUGAUCCACAUCCUCAGGCCAUUUUAUAUAUAUUUAUUUGCUUAGGUCCUCGUGAAAUUGCUGCAGUUCCCAAGUUGCUAGAAUUACAGGUCUGUGCCACUACACCACACUUAAUAGGGGCUUUUAGCUGUUUCCUUGCGUGUUUUUUUUUUUUUUGUAUUGGGGAUGCAAGUCACGACCUUGCAUGUGUUAGGUAAGAGCUCUACUGUGGAUCUACCGCCCCCACCCCCUCAGGCCCGUGUGUACAUUUUUUAAACUCACUUCUCCAACAUUCUCUGAUCCGACUUUUCUUUCUCAUCCUCUACCCUACCCUCAGGCCACAGUCUGACUUCACAGCAAAAUAAAUAAAGCAGUUUUUACCUUGGCCCACUAUAAUUUGUACUGACAGGAGGGCAGCCUCUUGCUAGGUGCAGCUGGGUGCCAGCUGAUUUGAUGCAGCUCAGGGAACUGUCUAAAGUUUAUCUGGAAGGGCACUCUUUAUUCAUUAAAACUACCUAGUGCACAGUUUGCCAAUCCUGCAUGCCCCUCCCCCUGCUUUUUUUAACCAGAGAUUAAUUUGGAGGCACUUAGCCACUGAGCCAGAUUCCCAGACCCCGCCCCCGACUUUUCCCAAAGUUUGAGACUGGCCAGGUACAUUGGCUGACCCCUGUAAUCCCAGCAGGAGGAUUAUGAGUUCAAAACCAGCCUCAACAAUUUAGAGAGGACUUAAGCAAUUUAGCAAGACCCUGUCUCUAAAUAAAUAAAAUAUUUAAAGAGGCUGAUGAUGUGACUUAAUGGUUAAAUGCCACUGGAUUCAAUUCCCAGUACCAAAAAAAAAAAAAAAGAGAGAGACUGGGUCUUGCUAAAAUGCUUUGGGCUUCACUGAAUUGCUGAGGCUGGCUUUGAACUUGAUCCUCCUGCCUCAGUCUCCUGAGCUGUUGGGAUUACAAGUGUCCAGCACAGCUCCCAGCUCCAAUCCCAUUUUAUUUUAUUUGGGGGGGGGGUACUAGGGAUUGAACUCAGGAGCACUCAACCACUGAGCCUCAUGUCCAGCCCUAUUUUGUAUUUUAUUUAGAGAGGGUCUCACUGAGUUGCUAAGCACCUUGCCAUUGCUGAGGCUGGCUUUGAACCCGUGAUCCUCCUGUCUCAGCUUCCGGAGCUGCUAGGGUUAUAGGCCUCCGCCUAUAAUCCCAUUUUAAAAUACAUUUUUUUUGUAAUGCAAAAAAAAAAGAAAAAGUACAUGUAUAAAGACAUGAAUUGGUGUGAACAUACUUCAUAUAAAAGAUAUGAAAAAUUGUGCUCUGUAUGUGUAAUAAGAAUUGUAAUACAUUCCGCUGUCAUGUAUUUAAAAAAAUACAAUCAAUUUAAAAAAUGAUAUAAAAAUGCAUGCUUUUAUGCCACAGUUUCAACACAAAUGAUAACAGAAAUCCAUGGAACAGAGCUUAAAUUAUAGAAUAAAAUGGGGUUAGGGGUGUAGCUCAGUGGCAGAGCUCUUUCCUAGAGUUCACCAGGACCUGGGUUCGAUUCCCCAGCCCCCUUCAAAAAUAAAACGAAAACAAACCCUACAACCUGAUGUGAAGGUAGACAGAUAUACUAGUAAACUACAGACAUAAAUAGUUAAAGAACUAGAUGUUUUUAUGACCUAAGACAAGCACAGCACUGUCUCCUGGUGUGGAUUAUAGCCUAGUUUUCAAAAGGAAUCGUAAAAAGUAAAGGCAAUAAAAUAUGAUUUUAUUUAUUAUUUUAUUUUUAAAUUUCUAUCAUUGCAGGUCAAAGAUUUUAUUAAAUAAUAACUUUGAGAAAAAGCAACUAUUAACACUGCAAACCUACUAAACCAGUGGAUAUCAAGAUAUUGUGUGUGGUAGUUGGGGCUGACCCUGCUCAUGAUUACAACUGCUCCAUUACUGUGGCUUAGGUCUGAAGGGACCCCAGUAGGUCAAAGCUCAGGUUCAGGAAAUACAGGAAAAACUCGGAGGGAAGUAGAACUAGUCUGUGGAUCGAAAUUAGCAAUAAAAGAUUGGAAAAAGGAUCACAGGGAAGUGAAUAAUUUUGGCGGUCGCUGCUCCAAGGUUCAGCCCUUUUGCAGUUUCUGAUAACCUUGUCAGGUCCCCCAGAUAAAGGCAAGUCUUGUCACCCUUGGGCACCUGGCUGAGAGGUAAUAAAACGGUUGCCUUAUCUCCUACAGGUGGAGUUAAGUCAAACCUCAGCCUGCGGUAAUUACAGUACCCAGGAAUUGCCAGUCCCUUUCCAAAAAAGAGUGGGGGGAAGGGAGACUAGAAAAAGCCAGAAGGCAGGAAAUUGUGUUUGUCUCUCUUCUAGGAUUUAAAAAAGAAAGCAAGCAGAACAGCAAGAAGUUUUCCAGGGAGUGAGAAAAACAGGUGGGCUAGCCUCCCCUCCUCUGGGGUUAACAGGAUUGCCCACAGAUCUGGCCCACGUGAUGGUCAAGAAAAGAGGCUCCAGCUGAGGAAAACCCAGGAAAUCUUCUUAGGAACCUUCCUUUCUAAAUGUAAAUGACUGAGUCAUUGCUUUGCUAAGGAGGAGAGGAAGUUGCAAUCACCCAGUGACUCGCUCGCUGCUGUGAGCUCAGGCAGUUGGAUAAAAAGUUUUUAGCAAAAGCGGCAACAAAUCUGCUUUAAAUACUAGCCCAGUAAGGGAAUUCCUCUCUUUCGGGAUGAAUGCCAUCCACACAAAAGAGCUCCUGUUGACAUCUCUUUUACAAUCUCCCCCAGGACACAGACAAGACCUUUUCAAUAAACCCGGCUCAGAAACACCUAUUAUUCAAAAUCUUCCUCUAGCAAGAGGCACUCACCACUCCCUACGGCUUUGCAAAAUAAAAGAUUUAGAUGGAGAAGGAUUGGGACUAGGGAAGCUGUGGAAAGAGGCAGGAAAGAAGUCCCUUUGACCUGGUGUGGUCUGAGAGUGUGCAAGAAGAAGAAAGUUAAUGGUCUUUCCAUUUUUCUAAGUGUCCAAGAAAUGCUGGUGACUGUCUUGGACCAGUGACUGUGGAUUCUAAACUGGAUGCCAACUAGGUAAAGAAAGUAACUCCUGCCAACAGGAUUGCUCAAUGAAAAACCCAGGCCGAACCGAACCUAUUCCCAGCCUUACAAAAGCCCUAAUAGCAGCCCUGGGAAAGCACAGGUAAGUCUUUGAUCUGAGCUGUUCCAUGUAGAAUCUUCUAGCUCAGCUCUCUGCCCACUCUGGUCCGCUAAAUUCCUCUCCAUCAUUUCCACAAGGUGACUCCCUCUCUGAAUAACACUGGAUUAUUUUCUGGAAUUAUAUAUAAUACUGCUCUUGGAAUAGGCCUCAGAUUAAGGAAUCUAUUUGUGUUUACCAAAAAAGUGAAUGAAAGGAAGGGCAUUUUAAAAAUACUCAUUAUCUUUACCCUCCCAGUAGAUGGUCAGUUCACCUUCCCCAGCUCACUACCUGACCUUUUAUCUUUAAUUCCUUGGGUCUUUCUCUCCUAUCUCUUAAGCCCCUCUGGAAUCAUUCACUGUCCUCUUUGUACCUUUCUCUGUCCCUAGAUCCUACUGUGCAUCAUCUCCUGUCUCUGGUGUCCUGGUAACUCCCUAACUCCAAGUUUCUCCAUCUUCGGAGCUGUGACUUAUUAAUGAGUCAUGACAUCAGCUGAGGUGAGUCAAACCGCUUCACCAUGUAGAAAACGAAAAUGAUUCAAUAGGAAACAUUAGCAUGCACCAUGUAGGAAAAGUACUGUUAUGUGUACCCAGAGUGGGCAACAGGAAGAGAGGCAGUUUGUUGGUCAAAAUAUCUGGAGAAAUACCUUUCUCAUUGUUCUCACUGGGUCGACCUUGUCCCUGCUUCCAAACCCUUGUAGACAAUCAGAGCAAUA